AAGCAUGGCGUUCUCUUUUGACUGCGCAAGCAGACAACGAUUAUGAUGUUUUCUGUGUGCUUCGUUUGAAAUUGCACCCUUGCUUCCUUUUACUUGCGGCGACACAAAAAGUAACUUGACACUGUAUUGAAUUAUAAUUACACGAAGAUAGAUGCAGUGACAGAGGGAGCGUACGGAAUUAAUACUUAAGGGUCCUGACGUAUCCCUCAUUGUCCAGUAUGAAGUGCAGCCCAGCUGAGGAGUUCAUCACUGCCUUCACACAGGCCACACAAGUGAGCUGGAGGAGGGCGUCAGCGAUGCGGGCACAACCCCGGCCAGACAGCCUCUCCAGGGCCUCCAUCAGCAGAUCCAGUCCAUUGAGCUCCAGGAACUGCACCAUCCAUUCCUGGUCACUCCCCUCUAGACGCCUCCGCACCCCUGAGUAGUUGACCACUGUGGGUACCUGUAGCAGUCGUAUGCAUAGCUCUGGAACUGAGUUCUCCAAGUUGGCCUCAAGGACCUGAGCCCUAGGACCAUGCCCCAGGACUACCUGACAUGAUGACUCCUUGCUGUCCCCAGUCCACCUGGCCGUGCUGCUGCUCCAGUUUCAACUGUUCUGCCUUAUUAUUAUUCGACCAUGCUGGUCAUUUAUGAACAUUUGAACAUCUUGGCCAUGUUCUGUUAUAAUCUCUACCCGGCACAGCCAGAAGAGGACUGGCCACCCCACAGCCUGGUUCCUCUCUAGGUUUCUUCCUAGGUUUUGGCCUUUCUAGGGAGUUUUUCCUAACCACCGUGCAUCUACACCUGCAUUGCUUGCUGUUUGGGGUUUUAGGCUGGGUUUCUGUACAGCACUUUGAGAUAUCAGCUGAUGUACGAAGGGCUAUAUAAAUAAAUUUGAUUUGAUUUGGCAGGCCAACAAACAAAUCUGGGUUUAGCAGAUGCAAGGAGAACACUCCCUUCCCCAAUGCAUAGUGCCAACUGUAAAGUUAGAUGGAGGAGAAAUAAUGGUGUGGGGCUGUUUUCAUGGUUCGGGCAAGGUCCCCUAGUUCCAGUGAAAGGAAAUCUUAACACUACAGCAUACAAUGACAUUCUAGAUGAUUCUGUGCUUCCAACUUUGUGGAAUGCCCUUUCCUGUUUCAGCAUGACAAUGUCGCAGUGCACAAAGCAAGGUCCAAAUAGAAACAGUUUGUCUAGAUCGGUGAGAAAGAACUUAACUGGCCUGACCUCAACCACAUCGAACAUCUUUGGACUGUUGACUUCGAGCCAGGCCUAAUCACUCAACCUCACUAAUACUUGUGGCUGAAUGGAAGCAAGUCCCUGCAGCAAUUUCCCAACAUCUAGGGAAAAGCCUUCCCAGAAGAGUGGAGGCUGUUAUAAGCAGCAAAGGGGAGAAUAAUCUAUAUUAAUGCCCAUGAGUUUGGAAUGGAGAUGUUCAAUGAGCAGGUGUCCACAUACUUUUGGUCAUGUAGUGUUGUACUGUUGCUGGUAACUUACAAGCUUCUGUCCCCCCAGUGUUGUGGUGGGAAACUGAGCAGAACACCGUUACUCAUAGAUAAAUUGUUAACAUGUCUAGCCUUUCAUUUCUGAAGUCUGCAUCCAAUUCCCCAUGUCACAGAAUUUGUCUAAUUUAAGAUGAAAACCCUGUUACUUGGCACUUACUAGUCACUUUUAUUUAACCCGUUGAUGUGUGACAACAUGUUUAUGAAGUUGAACAUGUACUCGUUAAAGAACACAAAUUAGGUGUAAUUCGUUUUUUUAUAAGUUACAUUACCCAAAAUGUACUCCAUUGGUGGAUUGGCCCUUUUAUCUGUAUUACUAAUUGCAAAUACAUUGUACCCAUUGUCAUGACAUCCACAAGCUUGGCAGAACGUUGCGCAUUGCAUUACUGAAAUGUUGGCAGUGGUACUUGACUUAGCCAAGAUAACUUCGCCCAGGCUUGGCAUGAGCAAGACAAUACAAUGUGUAUCAUGAUACAACAUACAUGUUGGCCAAAAAGUUGUUUGCGAGUGAAGUAGUCCUUUUCUCCGUCCAAGUACAUGAGUUUAACAAAUUACAGACCAAUUUCGCCCUGUUUACAAAACGUGUGUUACUCUUACCGUACUUAUCCCUUCAACUGCUCGAUUUCCACAGCGAAUCGAAGGUAACGUUCUGUAGUUACCAAUUUCAUACAAUUCCUGUGUGCGCGCGUUUUGGUAGAAAUACACUGGCCAAACCUUGCAGCGCUGUUCUCCAAACAUACCAGGGUUGCGUUCCCCUGCUCAGACUUUGCAUGCAUCAACCAGGACAACUUUAAGUGGUACUUCUUCUUCUUUGAUAUCAUGGUGCUUGCACAUUUUGUUUGUGCAUUCUGCCACCUACUGUGCGGGAGUGUGUGGUCGAUCAUGUUACCUUUUGUGAUUCAAAAACCCUACAACACAGGUGGGGAGGACAGGCACAUGGUAAUGGAUGGAGCUGUGUCGAUGGAAAGGUACCUUAUAACUCUUCUGCAGUAAAACAUUGUACACUCACAUACUUGAAAAACAGAAAGGAAAACGCUGCACACUGCUGCCCAUGCUCACAGGUUAUAUUUAUUUACAACGUUUCGACCCUUAGGUCUUCAUCAGGCAUCCACAUACUUCUCUCCAGCUUCCAUCACAACAUCUAUAAUUCUGUGAUUUACAUUCCAUUUCUGCGGUACAGGUGAUAACUAUGGCAAUGAAUGCUAAGAAGCCAACCUCACUGAAGUAAAAAUUUGUUUCACUCUGUAUUGGCUUAGACCAACUAUUCACCCUUGACCCAUCAUCCUCUAUUCUCAUCACUGCCUCAGCAUAUGACACCUUCUGUUCUACUCGGACCCUGGCAACCUCAACCUGUCUCUCUCGCUCCGGGGACUUCUGAUCCCCAACAACAUGGGCACCCAAUUGAGACACAGUUUUUUCCACCAAUACUUGACAUUCCUUUGUCCCAUGCCCUGCAUACUUCUCACAUCUCAGCAUCUCCCUCCUACACACUGCUGCAUAUGACCAUAUACAUGGCCUAGCCUGCAUCUGAGAGCAGCAUCCUCAUGUCCAGUCAGUGAUUGCUGGAGUGCUUGCAUUUGGCCUCUGGGCAGAAAUAAUCAACAACACCUCUCACCUCUUACCACAUUGAGUGGUUGAUCAUAUCCAAGGCUUAUAUGCUCUGUGCACAAUAGCCUGGGGAUGAAGCAGAGAUCUGUGUAUAAUGACGAGAUGCUCAUGUCUCUGCACUAACAAUGGGAGUUUUUGUCCCAAAGGCAGGAAGGCAGGUGACACGCCUAGGUCUGCAUAUUAAGCCCAUAGAAAUUAAUUGGGCUUAUUUUGGACAGAUUUUGGUGUGUGCAAAAUCUCUCACUUCACUUGUUCCUCUUUGGAUGAGGUUACUAACCAUGCAACUACCUUACCACGAGAGUUUGGACUUCUGUUUUAAAGUCUGAGUCAUAUUUCACUGUUACAAAUAACUGUCAAAAAUGUUUAAUUAAAAGUAGUCAUGAUGGUUGUACUGUUGCUUGUAAGCGUUGUAUCCGUGUGCUUACUGGCUUUUACCCUAAUAUUGGCUACUCUAGGUAGUAGCCCUGCUGCCACGAAAUGGCGCUAUUAUUCCUUACAUUGUUUGUCAUUGAUGUCCUGAGUUAAAAGAAAAAAAAACUUUGGAUUUUUUUUUUAUUAGUCCACUGUUGAAACAGUCCCAAAAUAUGUUGCAUGUCAGUAGUCAAGUUUUCAAGAUAUUGGAUUUUCAAGAAGCAAAAUGUCACUUGCCACAUCCUCCUGAUGAUGCGUUUUGCCGCGGCUUAAAGCACGACUGAAGGCAAAACAACUUAUCAAAUAGAAAAUGGGCUAUGUGGCACCAAUAUUAGUCAGAAACUUAUUACAGUGUCAACAUUUACAAGGUGUAAAUAGGAUCAUUUUGUUCAUAAUAAAGUCAGUCUUGU